rnacentral:rRNA from 1 species
UACGAAGGGGGCGAGCGUUGUUCGGAUUUACUGGGCGUAAAGGGCGCGUAGGCGGCCUUGUCAGUCAGGCGUGAAAGCCCCGGGCUCAACCCUGGGAUGCCGGUCGAUACUGCCGGACUAGAGUUCGGAAGAGGCGAGUGGAAUUCCCGGUGUAGCGGUGAAAUGCGCAGAUAUCGGGAGGAACACCUAUGGCGAAGGCAGCUCGCUGGGACGUUACUGACGCUGAGACGCGAAAGCGUGGGGAGCAAACAGG